rnacentral:rRNA from 1 species
AUACGGAGGAUCCGAGCGUUAUCCGGAUUUAUUGGGUUUAAAGGGUGCGCAGGCGGCCAUUUAAGUCAGCGGUUAAAUCGUGGGGCUCAACCCCAUUCUGCCGUUGAUACUGGGUGGCUUGAUUGCGGUCGAGGUUGGCGGAAUUCGUUGUGUAGCGGUGAAAUGCAUAGAUAUGACGAAGAACACCGAUUGCGUAGGCAGCUGACCAGACCGCAAAUGACGCUCAUGCACGAAAGUGCGGGGAUCGAACAGGAUUAGAUACCCUGGUAGUCCGCACAGUAAACGAUGAAUACUUGUUUUCGGCGAUAUAAUGUCGGAGGCAAAGCGAAAGCGAUAAGUAUUCCCCCUGGGGAGUACGCCGGCAACGGUGAAACUCAAAGGAAUUGACGGGG